rnacentral:tRNA from 1 species
GGAGAGGUGGCCGAGCGGCCGAAGGCGCACGCUUGGAAAGCGUGUAUACGGAAACGUAUCGUGGGUUCGAAUCCCACCCUCUCCGCCA